UAAGGAUUUUAAGUUCAAUCUUGACUUUGCACUAACUCUAGUGUUCAUUACAUCACUUUAUGUUGCUAACUCUAGCAAUCAAGUUCUUUACAUUCCUUUACUUUAGGCUAUCUUUAGCUUUCACAUUCUUUAACUUUACACGUUCUUUAUGCCCCACUUUACAUUAGCUUUAAUCAUUAAUAUCAUUCUUUACCUCGCAUUAGUUCUUUGCCUCACACUA
rnacentral:lncRNA from 1 species